rnacentral:tRNA from 1 species
UGUUCUGUGGCUUAGUUGGUUAAAGCGCUACUCCAGCGAAUGCAGAGUCGUGGGUUCAAAUCCCACCAGAACAC